rnacentral:lncRNA from 10 species
GAAAGGGGUUGACGGUUUCAAACCUUGAUGGAGGGCUCUCUCUAGCGUUAGGCAGCGGUAAAAACACCAUUCGGUUUGAGCUCCCGGAACCACGGGACUCCUAAUUUCCAAUAAAUGCACUUACUUCAUUUUAACUUCCCAGAUUCUCAUCCCUACCCCUUAUUAAAUCCCAACCGUCUCUUUCACCUUUAUCCCACCGGGCGAAGGGGUGAGAAAGCCUCAAUGUAGGAUUUUGAGGCCAAAGGCUCGUUCUUUGCAGACCGACUCUGACCCUUCCGCUUGCCGCAGAAGGGAUGAGCGGCGCAGUGUGACGCCACUGGCUAGUUUUAGGACCAGACUGCGGCCUUUGUGGCUGAGUCUUUCGCUGUCCCCUAGCCCCCGAAAGCGCACCCCGGAGCCUGCUACCGAGACCAAUUAGGACAUGGCACCCGGGGGUUAUAAUUCCCGGGAGGGCCACAGGAAGGCGAGGCAACUUUGGAGAGUGCCAGUGCGCGCGCAGGGGUCGGGGCCCCGGCCUUUGCCGAGUCCAAGCUGUGUCUCUACGGUUUCGGGGAAAUCGGAUUCGGAAAUCCUUACGGCUUGGCAGCUCCUGUUCUAAAGACUUUGGGCGGAAACCAAGUGGAGCUGGGUUCCCGUUCUUGCCAACGUAGGCGGAAGGGGCUUUCUGUUUAGUUUUUCUCCAACCUUGCCUGGGGCGCCUAUGAUGGAGACCCUCAGCCCCUAGGGACUCCAUCUUUUGACCUUGAAGUCUCGCUCAAACAUUCCCCUAAAAGAACGGGGGUGAGGGAGAAUGGAAGGCAAAAAGAGGGAAAAAAGCAAAUAAACUUCGGAAUCGGACAACUUAAAGUCUCGAUAUGAGCCUCGGAUUGUAUUCGAACUCCUGGGUUCUAGACCCAGCUCUGCUACUAACUUGUCUGACCUUCCCCAUUUAUAAACUGUUGUGGGUGAGAGGUGGGACUAGGUGAACUCUGAGAGCCCUGCACUCGGCG